rnacentral:lncRNA from 1 species
UACAUGUUACGGCACGUUGGCAUGCUGCCUUAGGCAAAGGUGUGUUUUUGCUUGCCCCUGUCUUAGCUGAAAACAUUUUAACCAGCUGCCCGAAAAGGUGUAAACACCCCUAGUAGUGUAAUUUGCACAACAAGGUGAAGUCCAGAUGUGUUAGCUCUGGCAGGUAGGUAUAUGUGCUGUGCACCUGCGUCUGUGACCUUGAAUCAACCUGUGAACCAGAGUGCUACUAUGAGGAGGAAGUGGUGUGGUCUGGUGCAUGAUGGGACAGCUCAACAAAUUCUAACGUGAAAAAAAAAUGAAGUGUUUUUUGCCUGUGCCUCAGCUGUAUUAAAGGGUUUGGAGAACA